rnacentral:rRNA from 1 species
AUGAACGCUAGCUACAGGCUUAACACAUGCAAGUCGAGGGGCAGCAUUUUAGUUUGCUUGCAAACUGAAGAUGGCGACCGGCGCACGGGUGAGUAACACGUAUCCAACCUGCCGAUAACUCCGGGAUAGCCUUUCGAAAGAAAGAUUAAUACCGGAUAGUAUACGAAUAUCGCAUGAUAUUUUUAUUAAAGAAUUUCGGUUAUCGAUGGGGAUGCGUUCCAUUAGUUUGUUGGCGGGGUAACGGCCCACCAAGACUACGAUGGAUAGGGGUUCUGAGAGGAAGGUCCCCCACAUUGGAACUGAGACACGGUCCAAACUCCUACGGGAGGCAGCAGUGAGGAAUAUUGGUCAAUGGGCGCGAGCCUGAACCAGCCAAGUAGCGUGAAGGAUGAAGGCUCUAUGGGUCGUAAACUUCUUUUAUAUGGGAAUAAAGUUUUCCACGUGUGGAAUUUUGUAUGUACCAUAUGAAUAAGGAUCGGCUAACUCCGUGCCAGCAGCCGCGGUAAUACGGAGGAUCCGAGCGUUAUCCGGAUUUAUUGGGUUUAAAGGGAGCGUAGGUGGAUUGUUAAGUCAGUUGUGAAAGUUUGCGGCUCAACCGUAAAAUUGCAGUUGAAACUGGCAGUCUUGAGUACAGUAGAGGUGGGCGGAAUUCGUGGUGUAGCGGUGAAAUGCUUAGAUAUCACGAAGAACUCCGAUUGCGAAGGCAGCUCACUAGACUGUCACUGACACUGAUGCUCGAAAGUGUGGGUAUCAAACAGGAUUAGAUACCCUGGUAGUCCACACAGUAAACGAUGAGUACUCGCUGUUUGCGAUAUACAGUAAGCGGCCAAGCGAAAGCAUUAAGUAUUCCACCUGGGGAGUACGCCGGCAACGGUGAAACUCAAAGGAAUUGACGGGGGCCCGCACAAGCGGUGGAGCAUGUGGUUUAAUUCGAAGCAACGCGAAGAACCUUACCUGGUCUUGACAUCCUUCUGACCGGUCCUUAACCGGACCUUUCCUUCGGGACAGGAGAGACAGGUGGUGCAUGGUUGUCGUCAGCUCGUGUCGUGAGAUGUUGGGUUAAGUCCCGCAACGAGCGCAACCCCUGUCCUUAGUUGCCAGCAUGUAGAGAUGGGAACUCUAAGGAGACUGCCGUAGAUAAUACGGAGGAAGGUGGGGAUGACGUCAAAUCAUCAUGCCCUUUAUGACCUGGGCUACACACGUACUACAAUGGCGUUAAACAAAGAGAAGCAAGACCGCGAGGUGGAGCAAAACUCAGAAACAACGUCCCAGUUCGGACUGCAGGCUGCAACUCGCCUGCACGAAGUCGGAAUUGCUAGUAAUCGUGGAUCAGCAUGCCACGGUGAAUACGUUCCCGGGCCUUGUACACACCGCCCGUCACACCAUGGGAGCCGGUAAUACCCGAAGCCAGUAGUUUAACCUUAGGGAGAGCGCUGUCGAAGGUAGGAUUGGCGACUGGGGUG